rnacentral:lncRNA from 1 species
CACGGCAGAAUAGAGACUUGUGGCGGCAAAAAAAAAGUGUUUCGGGGGGCUCUCUAGGAUUUUUGGCAUUUAUUAGAAUUUGUAGGACAAAGAGGGGCACCGGAGGCCAAGGGAGGUUGCCCCAAGCCAUCAUGGCGUGACUACCCCCUCGACGCACCUUGUUGGCUUGGGGCCAUCCCGUGUGGCCUCCUACCUCCUUCCAAAUCUUUCGGGUCCUUAUUUUGUCCAGAAAAGAAACGUUACUUCUUUUGGGGUAUUUGGACUUCGUUUGGUACAGUAUUCCUGAAAAGCUAAAAACAUGGAAAAAACAACAACUCACAGUUGGCACUGGGUUAAUAGGUUAGUGCUUAAAAAUAAUAUAAAAUAACAAGUAAAUGCCUAAAAAGUAUUUCAGAAUAAUAAUAUAAUAGCAUGGAACAAUCAAAGAUUAUAUAUACGCUCGAGACGUAUCAACGCGUUAGUACACUUAAAUAUAGACCUCUCCACAACAUACAUUAUAACAAUCACCUUAAUAGUAGUCUAUACACAUAUGACUAGGUAUUCUUUCUAGAAACUUAUAGAGCACAAAUCGAUUUGCUGGCAAUGAUCAUAUAUCUUAUUCUGAGUGAUCAUAUUUGUCUGAAAGUUUAAAGUGGUUUUAGUAAUAAGUUGAUGUGUGCAUGCAUCAUCUGUACUUUAUUAAACCAACAACAAUUAUUCUAACAACGUCUACUACCGUAAAAAUUACAUGGAUUGUAAUACUUGUGCAUACACACGAUUUGAUGUGCUUGGUAAGUAUUAUCUGGUGUAAACAAGCAUCCUUAAUGUGUCAUACACAUAUGACUAAUCACCUAGAUACACUACUUAGUG